GACAGCCAUCUACAUGCCAAGGAGAGAGGCCUCAGGAGGAACCAGCCCUGCCCACACCUGGAUCUCAGAUUUCCAGCCUCCAGGACUGUGAGACCAUAAAUGUCUCUUGUUUGCACUACACGGUCAAUGUUAUUUUGUAAUGGCAGCCAAGCAAACUAAAAUUGCUAUACUCUUCAUUCUUUUUCCAAUCGCCCCGCUAACUCUUUAUCAUUUGGCGGAGUCUUCCUGGCUGUUAAAUGUUGCACCCGGAUUUUAAAUCUGUCCCAGAGAAGAUUUACACCACUUAUGGAAACACUUGUGUGCCCCACAUUCAGCUUAAGAGGGAGAACAUCUUCAGUCUCCUAGAGGACACCUGUGGGGUGUUCAUAUACUUCAAGCCUCCAUCUUAAGGUCUCUUUGCUUCUAACUCUUUAUUCUCUCUCUGCAGGAUGCUGUCCGCAAUGACAAGUUCAAGUACCACUUAUUCAUCAAUGACUUAUAUAUAUUCAAAUAUAUUUUACGGAUAUAAAAUACCUCUGUACAUAUAUACAUUUAUGCCCGUAUUAAUAUAUAUCCAUAUUCAUAUAUAUAUAUAUAUAUAUAUAUCAGGUAUAUAUACAUCAAACUUUUCCCCUCUACUUUAGACUCCAUUUGGAAUGACCCUAUCAUAUCUUUGGUUGCAUGUCUUCAACCACUGGUUCUCAAACUUUUUGGUCUCAGGAAUCCUUCCCAUUAUUAAAAAUUACACAAAGACCCCAAAGAGCUUUUGUUUAUGGGCAUUGUAUCUAUCAGUAUUUACCAUAUUACAGAUUAAAACUGAGAAAUUAAAAACACAUUGAUGAAUUCAUUUUAAAGUUAUAAAAAUCAUAUAUUUUUUCAUGAAAAAGAAUAUUUUUUCAAAAUGGAAAAAAGAAAAUACUGAGCAGAGUGGCGUUUGACAUUUUUACCAACUGAGUUUGCGUAUCUGUUUUGGCAUCAUCUCUGGUCGACAUGCUGCUUUGUUUAAAGUGUGUGAAAAAUGAUUCAGCCUCCUACAGAUACAUCAUUGAAAGAGAAACAAGGAGCCUAUGACCAUCUUCGUGUUUCCAAAGGUCCAUGAGCAGAAGUGGGCACAGAACUCAAACAGCCCCUAGGAGGACAAGAGAUGAUAAGGUGGACCCUGACGAUGCCAUGAUUUCCAUACACCAGAUUGCUGGUCUCUCAUUCUUUUCCUUUCUGAAAGGGAGGCAUGUUUUCAGCGUUUGAAUUUUCCAGCUGCCAUUAUUCAUCAGAAUAAGGAAAAUAGACAGCUCGUCUUUGACUUUACAGACCCCUGGACUAUAAGGAACCAUGGCUUUGUAGGGAUGAGGAAACGAAGGCUUGUGCGCCAAAUCUGGCCCUCCACUUGUUUGUAUAAAUAAAGUUUUAUUGACACACAGCCACACCCAUUUAUUUGUGUUUUAUCUAUGACUGCUUUUGCACUACAGUGGGAUAGUUGAGUCCCUGCAACAGAGAACCUACGACCCAUGAAGCUGAAACUAUUUACUAUCUGGCCCUUUACAGAACAGGUUUACCAACUCCUGGUCUAGACCCAAUUCACAUAUUUUGGUAAAAAAGGUCUCCCCUCAAUUAACUCAUGUGUUCCUGUGGACAUACUCAAAUAUCUACAGAAAAAGAGCCUCCCUGGAGGACAUAAAUUGUUGCUGUGCCCAAUAAUAGAAAUAGUAAUCACAUGCAUACUUCAAUUCUGUUUAUCUACACACCUUCUAGGACUCCAAUCAAUCAACAACCAACAAAAGAAAAUUCAAACUCUGGUCGUCUGGAUAUUUGUGAUAAUUGAGUUUCCUCUGGGUGUAAGGAAACAUCCAACACUGAAUUCUUCUCUAUGGCUGGUCCUACUUUUAUUAAACUUGGACAUUUUUGACAACUUGUUCAGAAUCAUACUUUCUACUUUGCUUGGAGACAAUUGCCAUCGUCUUUCCCUAGAUCAAAACUAUGUGCAAUUAUCUUCUGAUCUGUCCCAGGAAAUGGGAGGUGCCCAGGAGGUCCCUUGAUCGAAUCACACUAACAAGAUAAGAGAGCAGAUCAAUAGCGCGAUUAAUCGCUGGAGUGCCUCUUCACCCUGAACGCUUCGCUGAGCCGAGUUGGUGAAAACAUUCCGACUGAAAUGAUACAGCCCAUUCUGACCGCCCUUUGACGUUGCAAAUGAAGUAUUGAUUAUCUAUACUCAACCUCAGUUCUGGCUUUGCUUAAAACUUUGUGUUUUGUGGGAAAGGCUGUUUGGUAUCAAGUCUUGAUUCCGUAAGCCUUAGGGUGGCAACAGCCUGGUUAAACCAGUGGCAUGCCUCGUUGAAGCACGAUGCUUGGGUUCCUGUGCUAUUUUUCGUGGGUGGCUGGAGGACGUUCUAACAUGGGGGGCCUCAUCUUUUCUUGGAUUCUUUGUUCUCCAAGACGAACCCAUUUCCUGCAGCUUUUGGUGACUGCUGAAGCCAUGUCCUUAUUAAAAGUCUUGGCUAAUGUGGUAAGCCAAAAAGGUAUCUACUUUUUCACUUGCAUUCCUUUUAUUUCCAUCCAUUUUUAAAAAGAAGAGUCCUUGUGAGAAACCCCUCAGUCUCAGCCUAGGAAAGAGUUACUCUCCCUCACACAGUCCCGGACUACAAACCUUUGUUCCAGCUACUUUACUUGGUCCCAGCUGUUUUAAAAUAGGAACACGUGUGUCCUAUUAUGUGUUGAUUGAUGGGCAGAGAAUUUCCUUAGUUGUCGGUCAUUUUGGGCCUCUCUACCACACCACAUUACACAAGCACAUGCACCACGUGCUCAUGCACACACAUGACACAGACUACACACAUACAUUCAAGCCCCACACAAAUGCUUGUGCAAGCACACAUGCCACGUGCGUACACACAUACCAUACACACACAAGACACAUUCACGUGCACAAGACAGACCACACACACACACCCCCACAUACAUACUUGUUUGUAAAUAUCAGGCACAUGCACACAUCACAAACUCGUGCACACACACACAUAACAUGCACAUAUGCAUGUGCUUACAUACACAUGAUACUCACACACCAGGACACACACAUGCCCAUAUUCACACAUCUGCACACACACCACAUAUGUGCACAUGUGCAUGUACUCCUAAACACUCCCAAAUGCACUUCUUAUAACUGAAGUGUGAAAAGCCGUUUCAUAAAUUUAAAUUUAAUUUAUACAAUUUAAUUUAUGUGAUGUAAUUUAUAUAACGUGUGAAUUUAAUUUAUACAAUGUAAGUAAAAAAUGCUUGAAGAAACAUUUAACCAUUUUCCUCCAAAAAUUCACUUUUUUUUUUUUCCUUGGGAGACAUUAGCAAAAGCUCCUUGAAUGUCCUAAACUAUGUUGGGUUGGAAGAAUUGCAAUCACUAUGUGGUUUGAAUCAAUCCCAUUUUCUUGUUUAUUGUUUCAUCUACUGGGUUGGACGGCUCAACAUGUCACGUGAAAUAUAAACUCAAAAAAAACCA